rnacentral:rRNA from 1 species
CCUGCCUCAAAGAGGGGGAUAGCCUCCCGAAAGGGAGAUUAAUACCGCAUAACAUUAUUUUAUGGCAUCAUAAAAUAAUCAAAGGAGCAAUCCGCUUUGAGAUGGACCCGCGGCGCAUUAGCUAGUUGGUGAGGUAACGGCUCACCAAGGCAACGAUGCGUAGCCGACCUGAGAGGGUGAUCGGCCACAUUGGAACUGAGACACGGUCCAGACUCCUACGGGAGGCAGCAGUGGGGAAUAUUGCGCAAUGGGGGAAACCCUGACGCAGCAACGCCGCGUGAGUGAUGAAGGUUUUCGGAUCGUAAAACUCUGUCUUUAGGGACGAUAAUGACGGUACCUAAGGAGGAAGCCACGGCUAACUACGUGCCAGCAGCCGCGGUAAUACGUAGGUGGCAAGCGUUGUCCGGAUUUACUGGGCGUAAAGAGUAUGUAGGUGGGUGCUUAAGUCAGAUGUGAAAUUCCCGGGCUCAACCUGGGAGCUGCAUUUGAAACUGGGCAUCUAGAGUGCAGGAGAGGAAAGUGGAAUUCCUAGUGUAGCGGUGAAAUGCGUAGAGAUUAGGAAGAACACCAGUGGCGAAGGCGACUUUCUGGACUGUAACUGACACUGAGAUACGAAAGCGUGGGUAGCAAACAGGAUUAGAUACCCUGGUAGUCCACGCCGUAAACGAUGAAUACUAGGUGUCGGGGGGUACCACCCUCGGUGCCGCAGCAAACGCAUUAAGUAUUCCGCCUGGGGAGUACGGUCGCAAGAUUAAAACUCAAAGGAAUUGACGGGGACCCGCACAAGCAGCGGAGCAUGUGGUUUAAUUCGAAGCAACGCGAAGAACCUUACCUAGACUUGACAUCUCCUGAAUUACUCUUAAUCGAGGAAGUCCCUUCGGGGACAGGAAGACAGGUGGUGCAUGGUUGUCGUCAGCUCGUGUCGUGAGAUGUUGGGUUAAGUCCCGCAACGAGCGCAACCCUUAUUGUUAGUUGCUACUAUUAAGUUAAGCACUCUAACGAGACUGCCGCGGUUAACGUGGAGGAAGGUGGGGAUGACGUCAAAUCAUCAUGCCCCUUAUGUCUAGGGCUACACACGUGCUACAAUGGCUGGUACAACGAGCAGC